rnacentral:rRNA from 1 species
UGGGGAUUAUUGGACAAUGGGGGGAACCCUGAUCCAGCCAUGCCGCGUGUGUGAAGAAGGCCUUAUGGUUGUAAAGCACUUUAAGCGAGGAGGAGGGUACUGGUAUUAAUACUACCAGGUACUGGACGUUACUCGCAGAAUAAGCACCGGCUAACUCUGUGCCAGCAGCCGCGGUAAUACAGAGGGUGCGAGCGUUAAUCGGAUUUACUGGGCGUAAAGCGUGCGUAGGCGGCUAAUUGAGUCGGAUGUGAAAUCCCCGAGCUUAACUUGGGAAUUGCAUUCGAUACUGGUUAGCUAGAGUGUGGGAGAGGAUGGUAGAAUUCCAGGUGUAGCGGUGAAAUGCGUAGAGAUCUGGAGGAAUACCGAUGGCGAAGGCAGCCAUCUGGCCUAACACUGACGCUGAGGUACGAAAGCAUGGGGAGCAAACAGG